rnacentral:lncRNA from 1 species
AAAAUGUUUUUUUUUUUUUUUUGAAAAUAAGCUUAGCUGAAUCAACUCGAAUUCAAAUUUGAGACCUCAAAUACUAACUAUUAAACUCUUUAUCACUCCCACGAGAAACGAUCAGUGAUUACAUUGAAAGUUAAGGUAGCGUUUGAUUCAACAUAAAACGAAUUGAACAAUCAUUUUUGAUAUAAAAUUAUUUUUUCGUAAAAAUACUUUUACAUAUUUGAAAAAAUAGAAGUUUAUAUUUUUCGGUGUUUUUUCGCGUUGCUGCGUUAAACUUUUUUUAUUCAUAUUUUUCUACCCAAUCAAAUAAAUGUAGAUUUUUUUCUUUCAACCAAACAAAUGUUGAUGAAAAAAAAAAAAAAAAUCCUUACAAACCAAACACUACAAAACGUAAAAAAAAAUUUUCCCACAAAAAAUUAUUUUUCACGAUUUUACGUAGAAUCAAAACAUUCCCUAAGUCUGAUAAAAUUUGGUCAAAAUUAUUGGUUAUUUAAUCUGUCUCACAAUAAUAGGUAUAAGAGACUAAUAAGUUAAAUAAAACUACGGUCCGUAAUUAGACGUAACAGUAAAAAAAUUCAGCAAUAAAUCUAACAUCCAAGUGAGAUGAAUCAGGUCGAAGCCUUUAAAUGCAAUGGG